rnacentral:rRNA from 1 species
UUGCAUUAACAAAAAGUUAGUGUAGGAUCGACUCUGUCGAAUAAAAUUCUAGAUAGAAUUAUGAUAAUGACAUUAUCUAUCUAUGUGUCUUGACCAAAUUACGUGCCAGCAGUCGCGGUAAUACGUAAAAGACUAGUGUUAUUCAUCUUUAAUAGGUUUAAAGGGUACUUAGACGGUAAAUCAAGCCCGAAUAGGGAACUAAUAUACUAGAGUUUGAUGUAAGGAAGCAUGAAAGUACUGUUGGUGUAGAGAUAAAAUUCUAUCAUACCAAAUAUGGCACAGGUUUAGGCGAAAGCAUCUUCUUAUGUAAUAACUGACGUUGAAGGACGAAGGCUUUGUGUCUCGAACAGGAUUAGAUACCCCAGUAGUCUAAGCAGACAAUGAUGAAUGUCAUAGAUUAGAUUUAAUUUAUUCUAUAAAUGAAAGUGUAAGCAUUCCACCUCAAGAGUAAUUUGGCAACAUUGGAACUGAAAUCAUUAGACCGUUUCUGAAACCAGUAGUGAAGUAUGUUGUUUAAUUAGAUGGCACGCAAAAAACCUUACCACAAUUUGAAUUAGUAAUAUGUUUUCACAAGCGCUGCACGGCUGUCUACAGUUAAUGUCGUGAGAUUUUGGUUAGUUCCAUUAAAUUAACG